rnacentral:rRNA from 1 species
GAUGAACGCUGGCGGCGUGCCUAAUACAUGCAAGUCGAGCGAACGGACGAGAAGCUUGCUUUUCUGAUGUUAGCGGCGGACGGGUGAGUAACACGUGGAUAACCUACCUAUAAGACUGGGAUAACUUCGGGAAACCGGAGCUAAUACCGGAUAAUAUUUUGAACCGCAUGGUUCAAAAGUUAAAGACGGUCUUUCUGUCACUUAUAGAUGGAUCCUCGCUGCAUUAGCUAGUUGGUAAGGUAACGGCUUACCAAGGCAACGAUGCAUAGCCGACAUGAGAGGGUGAUCGGCCACACUGGAACUGAGACACGGUCCAGACUACUACGGGAGGCAGCAGUAGGGAAUCUUCCGCAAUGGGCGAAAGCAUGACGGAGCAACGCCGCGUGAGUGAUGAAGGUCUUCGGAUCGUAAAACUCUGUUAUUAGGGAAGAACAUAUGUGUAAGUAACUGUGCACAUCUUGACGGUACCUAAUCAGAAAGCCACGGCUAACUACGUG